GUGCUCGCUUCGGCAGCACAUAUACUAAAAUUGGAACAAUACAGACAAGAUUAGCACGGCCCCUGCGCAAGGAUGACAAGCAAAUUUGUGAAGUGUUCCAUAUUUUU
ensembl:snRNA U6 U6 spliceosomal RNA